CAUCGGGGGUACAAAUGUAAGAGAUACGACAUGGCGUACUCUUCAGAAGAUGAUUUCAAAUGACCUCGCUAGAUCAAUGAACUGGAAAGGGGCCAAUGGAAAGGUCUCAUUCAGCGACUCAUGUUUACGAGAAAUAGUCAAUCAAGCCACAGAUGUAGCCAUUGAGUCAGUGGUAAAAAGAUGGCUACAUCUGGCUCCAGAUAGAGAUGGAGGGAGAAAGGAGAGGGCAAGGAGACAAGAGGAGCUCCAGUGAAAGACUAGAAGAACUGGUAAGAUAUGGAAGAUACGGCCUGAUGUGGAAGAGGAAAUGCAGCUCUACAAACAGGAAAAGUCAUUCCAUUUGAUUCUAAUUUACAGCACAUGGUAGCGGUCACUAAAAAGGAAAUGGUUUAG